GGCGCGUGGCCGCCCGGUCCACGGUGGCGCGUCCGCUCCGGCCGGGCGCCCGGUCCGCGGUGGCGCGUCCGCUCCGCGCGGGCGCCC
rnacentral:tRNA from 1 species